UGUUGACUCGGAUCAGGUAGGAAUACCCGCUGAACUUAAGCAUAUCAAUAAGCGGAGGAAAG
rnacentral:rRNA from 1 species